UACAGAGGUCCCAAGCGUUGUUCGGAUUCACUGGGCGUAAAGGGUGCGUAGGCGGUCGGGUAAGUCUGAUGUGAAAUCUCACAGCUUAACUGUGAAACUGCAUUGGAUACUAUCCGGCUAGAGGAAUGGAGGGGAGACUGGAAUACUUGGUGUAGCAGUGAAAUGCGUAGAUAUCCAGCGGAACUCCGGUGGCGAAGGCGAGGUGCUGGACCCUUUCUGACGCUGAGGCGCGAAAGCCAGGGGAGCAAACGGG
rnacentral:rRNA from 1 species